rnacentral:rRNA from 1 species
ACGCUCGACACCUACGGGGAGCAGCAGUGAGGAAUAUUGGUCAAUGGGGCGCAGGCCUGAACCAGCCAAGUAGCGUGAAGGAUGACUGCCCUAUGGGUUGUAAACUUCUUUUAUAUGGGAAUAAAGUUUUCCACGUGUGGAAUUUUGUAUGUACCAUAUGAAUAAGGAUCGGCUAACUCCGUACCAGCAGCCGCGGUAAUCUGAGCGGGCUGGCAAGGC